UGAAGAUGUGCUGAGAUGUGCUGAUGAUUGUCAUGUAUUUUGAAUAAAAAGACUGAGAUGGCAGACACAAGAAGAUUAUGCAUGGACGAGCCCUCUCCCAAGCUUGUUUAAGAUCUACUCUGAGCUGUAGCUUGAGUGAAUGUGUGCCACUUGAGUGCUAAGAUCUUCAGACGCCCUCCUCUGACCCGUGGCCAGGAAGCUGCUGAAGUGGCAUGUACUUGCAGCGUCUGACACCUACGGCGAAGACAAACCAGGAGCACACCACGUUUGGCAAAGAGAUGAUGAGACUGCAGGUUUAAGAAGUCAUGGGGUCCCUCUGUGCAAACACUAGUAGACCACUGCUCAGACAGAGCUCCCACAAGGGAGCACAAGGGACUCUUGGCCAGAACUCCCUGAAAGAAGAGCCACUGUGAU